UGUUUUAAUUGUUCGGUUAGUUUGAGGAUCCAUCUGCUUACAAGGACAAAGUGAUUGCCACGGACUUGCCUACUUUUCCUAGAGCUGCAAUAGGGUAGAUUGUGUUCACUGCUAGUGAUGCAGAAGCAUGGCAUGCAAAAGAAAAGAGUGUCAUGGUAGUGAGGACAGAAACAAGUGCAGAAGAUGUUGAUGGUAUGCAUGCAGCUACUGGGAUCUUGACAGAAAGAGAUGGUUUGACAUCUCAUGAUGCUGUUAUAGCCCGCAAAUGGAGAAAGUGUUGUGUGCUCUCAAUAUUCCUUGGUUAUCAUUAAAUGAAAAAUGUGAAGAGGAUAAAGGUUGUGAGGUUGAUGAUAGUAGUCAUUACACCAGAACAGAGAAAAGCCGCAAUUGACCUGUUGCUAUCUUAUUAGAGAUCAGAUUUUGAGGGAAUCUUCCACGCAAUGGACGGUCUUCUAGUAACAAUCCGAUUGUUAGAUCCUCCACUUCAUGAGUUUAUUCCCAAGGGUGAGGAAUAUCAUACCCUGAAUUAACUGAGAUGCAUUUUCCUGCAAUCUUUGAGGCUGCAGUUUCAGUGAGUAACCUUGGCAUUAAAGGUCUGCUGGAAAUAAUGGUUCCACUUGUCGAUACACCUCAAGCAUGAUCUUUAUUCAACCUCAUUUAUUCCCUUGCUGCUUUUUUGCUUCACUUUUUGCUCUAUAUAUACCAUUAAUCAUAAAAAUUAUGUCAUAGCUUUACCAUACAUUAUUUGAGCCAAAGCUUCAUAGUCUUUUUAGUUUUUUCUAAACAGUAUAUACCAAGUACAACUACAUUAGCUUCUUGUCUUGGUUAUUUAUAAUCUUUCCUCUUUUAUCCUCGGCAGGAAUUGAAGCACCAAGUGAGUUUAAUAAGAAAUGUUGAUGGGAAAGUGUUUUCUGAGACGAGUUCCUCUCUAAGCUAUAAAGUAGGAACCAUGAUCGAUGUCCCUAGAGCUACUCUGAUUGCAGAUGAGAUUGCAGAGGAAGCAUAAUUCUUUUCAUUUGGAACCAAUGACCUUACCUAAAUGACAUUAAGAUGGAAAAGGAAAGAGAAGUGAAGAGAGGGAUUACUGUAGAGAAUAAUGAUCAAAUUUGGGGAUUAGGAUUUUUAACUUUGAUUUAGGGACCAAAUUACACCAUAAAAGUUUACUCAUCCACGUCAGCUAGCCAUUACCUGGCCAACCUGUCAUGGAGGAGUUCGGAUUAGCUUUUCGGUGGCGCUAGAUGGGCAGAAUGUGCUGGAAGGAUGAAUCUGAGUCCCAAAGUGCAACUUCAAAGACGAAUAUGAGUAAUUAUUAAUUUCAGGAACUACGAGUCUCGAGUGUAACUUCCGGAACCACUUUGAGACUUAACUUCAUAUUAAACUAUUCAUUAAUAGUAUUUAAAGAGAUAUGAAU